GAACUCAGACGUCCUGAAGAGAGCUGUGCUUCCACUCAGCCAUGGUCAGCAUACGGCCCUGCUCCCAAGUCCUGGAGAAUUGGAGCUGAACUGAGCCAGUGUUGAUGCAGAAGCAAACCGGGUGAGUGGCCAAGAUGACACAAUGAGGGGCCAAGACCAGCAGAUCUGCGGCAGAAGAACUCAAGGAAUACAACAAAAUCAAGAGAGUGCCUUCCCGGGUCGACCAGCCCAAUGCCCAAGCAGGAGCAGCUCAGCUGGGAACACUUUGUGGCCUGGGCAGGGGGAGGAGCAGAGGGCCCCCGGCAGUGCAGCCUGGGAAAGGGGCUGGCAGCCUCCAAGACAGAGGAAGGCCCUACCCUCUGCUCUAGCUUUUGUGGAGAAAUGUGUGUUAGUUGUUCAGUCAUGUCCGACUCUAAGACCCCAUUGACUGUAGCCCACCAGACUGCUCUGUUCAUGGAAUUCUCCAGGCAAGAAUACUGGAGUGGGUUGCCAUUACCUUCUCCAGGGGAUCUUCGUGAUCCAGGGAUCAAAUCCAGGUCUCCGUCUUUCAGGCAGAUUGUUUACCCAAAUGAACACUGAUUCACAACGCUGCAAGUCUAAAAUGGGAACUGUGGACAUUCUGCUGCUGCUGUGUCCGACUCUGUGCAACCCCAUAGACAGCGGCCCACCAGGCUUCCCCGUCCCUGGGAUUCUCCAGGCAAGAACACUGGAGUGCGUUGCCAUUCUGGAAGAUGCUAAAAGAAACAUUCCUCUCUCUUUCAUUCUUCACUCCCUCUUUACUCUUCACUACUCUUCAAGGGCAGAGGAGGGACCACCUGACAUGCCUAGGAAAAUUCAAGGAGGAUGAAACAAUGUUUUAUCUUGGCCCUGGGAGAUUUGAAGCCCAGACACAAAAGAGAACAGAGGGAAAGAAAGACACCAGCUUUGGCAGAUCUGAAGGUAAAGACCACAAGCUGCGCCCACAUGGAGCCCCUCCCUUGGGGCAGCCCCUUAAAACUGAGCGAGAGAUGGAUCCAGAUGAAUAGCACCCGCGUGCAUUGUUGAGUCAACAUUGUUCUUUUGAGUCCCCAGGUGAACAAUCAGACACAGCUAAUAACUUUUCAGCCUUGGGCCAAAAGGAGAGGAAAUGAAACCCUGAGAAUCUUGCCUGGAACCAUGGCAGUAGCUCGACUCCUGUUCCCUCUGCAUGAAGUUAUGUUUAGGAAGCUCAGGAUAGAAGUUCUGAUUUUCAAGAUUAGUGGAUAGAACAUAGUCCCAGCUUACCCACUCACUGACUGGGUGACUGCUAGCAAAGCACAAGUCUCAAUUUUUACCAUCUGUAAAAUGUGUUAUUGUAGGAUUUGCUGAGAUAGUGCAUAUAAGCACUUAGUACAGUAUCUGGCCUACAAAAAGUGCUUAAUAAAUGCUAGCCAUUAUUC
ensembl:lncRNA